rnacentral:rRNA from 1 species
AGUGAACGCUGGCGGUAGGCCUAACACAUGCAAGUCGAACGGCAGCACAGUAAGAGCUUGCUCUUACGGGUGGCGAGUGGCGGACUGGUGAGGAAUACAUCGGAAUCUACUUUUUCGUUGGGGAUAACGUUGGGAAACUUACGCUAAUACCGCAUACGACCUACGGGUGACAGCCGGGGCUCUUCGGACCUUGCGGGUUUUCAUGAGCCGAUGUCGGAUUAUCUAGUUGGCGGGGUAAAGGCACACAAAGGCGACUAUCCGUAGCUGCUCUGAGAGGAUGAACAGCCACACUGGAACUCAGACACGGUCCAGACUCCUACGGGAGGCAGCAGUGGGGAAUAUUGGACAAUGGGCGCAAGCCUGAUCCAGCCAUACCGCGUGAGUGAAGAAGGCCUUCGGGUUGUAAAGCCCUUUUGUUGGGAAAGAAAAGCAGCAUGUUAAUAUCCCGCUGUUCUGACGGUACCCAAAGAAUAAGCACCGGCUAACUUCGUG